rnacentral:misc_RNA from 1 species
ACACCUCAACUCGCAUGGUUCGCCAUGACGAGCUUGGAUUUUGGAGGCUUUGCCGGCCUGUGGUCGGCUCCUCUCAAAUGAAUCAGCUUACCGGUGUACUGGUGGCAUCACGGGUGUGAUAACUAUCUACGCUUGUGGUCGUCUGCCGAAUUUUCUGGGGCUCAUAAACGUCUCCCGAGUGAAGACAGCCUUCUGAAC